UCAAAAUUUCUCUGCAAUAUUCCAUUAGCCUUUAUAAACCAAUGUUGCAAUUAUAAAUGAUAUUUUUCAGGUCAUUGAUGGCUAUGGAGAGAUCCUAUUUGCUGACCAAAGGAGAAAACGACAACAACUAACUUCAUAUUUUUUCACAUCCAUGAGCUUAAUGACGGAAAAUCAAACUUUUCGAGUCUCAUUAUUUGACAAGCAUCUUGAAACAGCAUGGAGGAACUACAGGUUCCUUUAUUUCCCAAUAAAUACUGGGGGUAAUAAGAAGUCAACAUAUGGAAAUCACUGGACCUUGCUAGUCUUGGACAAACAAGACAAUUUAUGGAGGUUCUACAACUCGCUAAGGCCAAUGAGGGAUGAUGCACAAGACAAAUAUAUCAAAGAUGCAAAACAAUUGCAAGAUUAUGUGGAGAAUUUUUUGAAAGCUUGCCUUGAAAGAGAGGCACAAUCACAACCC